ensembl:lncRNA LUCAT1 lung cancer associated transcript 1
CUCCAGAAACCAUGUGUCAAGCUCGGAUUGCCUUAGACAGAAGCUCACCCAGCUGGAACUCUUAUGGGACCUUGGCACCAGAGACCACAAAUUCCUCUUUGAAGUUUUCUAACAGCAACAAUGGUAUUUCUGACUUGGCUUUCUUGUAUUUCUCUCACGUUAACAAAAUUGGUUCAGCAUCUACCAUGGGCUACAUGCUGAGCUACAGAGUUUCGCUCUGUCGCCCAGGCUGGAGUGCAGUGGCGCGCGAUCUCGGUUCACUGCAAGCUCCACCUCCCGGGUUCACGCCAUUCUCCUGCCUCAGCCUCCUGAGUAGCUGGGACUACAGGCGCCCGCCACCACACCCAGGAAUCCAACUUGCUGUUUGCUAUCACAUGUGCUAUACAUGCUGUUGAUGAAACUGCUAAAGGGGCUGAAUGUGACUGACGUCUUUGGAAGGAUGAGACUUAGCGUGCCUGUACAGUUGUGUCCAAAUGCUGUCCUCAUCUCCCAAUGAAAAGGUAUUGUAAAUAAAGAGAAAGAUCAGAGGCUUAUUUUAAACACUAAAUAUGAGCUAGGAGCUGUCCUAGACACUAUGUAAAAGUUUUAUUUAGUUCUCACUGUAAUGUUGGCCUUAUGUUAGCAUCCCAUUUUUCAGACUGAGGAAAUUAUGGCUCAGAGAGGUUAAGAGACUUAUUGAAGGUCACACAGCUCCACAAACUUUGGUGUAGAUUGAACGUGUACAUGGGUCUAUGUGACUUUGAAUCUUGCAUUCUUUACAUUAUUGGAAUAUUUCACAGAAGGAAAAUGACAUAUUAACAUGGCAAUAA